UUGAACGCUGGCGGCAUGCCUUACACAUGCAAGUCGAACGGUAACGGGCCUUCGGGUGCCGACGAGUGGCGAACGGGUGAGUAAUACAUCGGAACGUGCCCGAUCGUGGGGGAUAACGAGGCGAAAGCUUUGCUAAUACCGCAUACGAUCUACGGAUGAAAGCAGGGGACCGCAAGGCCUUGCGCGGACGGAGCGGCCGAUGGCAGAUUAGGUAGUUGGUGGGAUAAAAGCUUACCAAGCCGACGAUCUGUAGCUGGUCUGAGAGGAUGAUCAGCCGCACUGGGACUGAGACACGGCCCAGACUCCUACGGGAGGCAGCAGUGGGGAAUUUUGGACAAUGGGCGCAAGCCUGAUCCAGCCACGCCGCGUGCAGGAUGAAGGCCUUCGGGUUGUAAACUGCUUUUGUACGGAACGAAAAGCCUUCUUUUAAUACAGGAGGGUCAUGACGGUACCGUAAGAAUAAGCACCGGCUAACUACGUG
rnacentral:rRNA from 1 species